AGUGAACGCUGGCGGUAGGCCUAACACAUGCAAGUCGAACGGCAGCACAGUAAGAGCUUGCUCUUACGGGUGGCGAGUGGCGGACGGGUGAGGAAUACAUCGGAAUCUACUUUUUCGUGGGGGAUAACGUAGGGAAACUUACGCUAAUACCGCAUACGACCUACGGGUGAAAGCAGGGGAUCUUCGGACCUUGCGCGAUUGAAUGAGCCGAUGUGGGAUUAGCUAGUUGGCGGGGUAAAGGCCCACCAAGGCGACGAUCCGUAGCUGGUCUGAGAGGAUGAUCAGCCAAACUGGAACUGAGACACGGUCCAGACCCCCAGGGGAGGCAGGGGGGGGGAAUAUGGGAAAAGGGGGGCAAGCCUGAUCCAGCCAUACCGGGGGGGUGAAGAAGGCCUUCGGGUUGUAAAGCCCUUUUGUUGGGAAAAAAAAGCAGCAGGUUAAUCCCCCGCUGUUCUGACGGUACCAAAAAAAUAAGCACCGGCUAACUUCGU
rnacentral:rRNA from 1 species